AGCGGCAGAAGGGUGAGUAAUGCAUCGGAACAUGCCCUGAAGUGGGGAAUACCCAGCCGAAAGGCUGGCUAAUACCGCAUAUGACCUCCGGGUCAAAGCUUUAUGUGCUUCAGGAUUGGCCGAUGUCCCAUCAGCUAGUUGGUAGGGUAAUGGCCUACCAAGGCGACGACGGGUAGCUGGUCUGAGAGGAUGGUCAGCCACAAGGGAACUGAGACACGGUCCCUACUCCUACGGGAGGCGCAGCCGGGAAUCUUCCGCAAUGGACGAAAGUCUGACGGAGCGACGCCGCGUGAAGGAUGAAGGCCCUCGGGUCGUAAACUUCUUUUAUGAGGGAAUACUUAGAAGGUACCUCUUGAAUAAGCCACUGCUAACUACGUGCCAGCAGCCGCGGUGAUACGUAGGUGGCAAGCGUUAUCCGGAAUUACUGGGCGUAAAGAGUUGCGUAGGUGGGAAGCCGCGUCGGUUUUGAAAGCGUGAGGCUCAACCUCAUUUUUGGAACUGA
rnacentral:rRNA from 1 species